CCUGCCUCAGCCUUCCAAAAUGCUGGGAUUACAGGGGUGAGCCACCUGGCCUGCAUCUUCAUUUUUGAUGUGAAGAACAUGGGGAAGGGAAUCUCUCCUAAAUACUAUGGUACCAUUUAGAUUUUGGGUGAGCAAUGAGGAUCAUUGUCAGAUUUAAGAUUUAAAUAAUAGAUCUGACAGGUGAAGGAAUAGCUAACUUCUCUUGCAGAAUCUCUAACCCUUUGAUGACUUACUAACAUGUGAUCUCACUUUUCAUUGGGCCUUUGCCUUGUCCACCACUGAUUUAUCUCUUGUUGACAUACCUGCCCUUACGGUGUUGAGAUUCAUAUACAUGUAUGCAAGCCUCCUCCAUGGGGACAGGUCUCUUUUCCCUCUUGGGGUGGGGUGAAGGCAGACUUAUGAUCUGGCCUCCAUUAGUGUUCUUAAUGCAAUCUCAGUAGUUGGGGAAGCUUCUCUUUGCUUGUGCAGUAUUUCAUUAAAUGUUUGGCCACAGAGCUGAAGUGUGGACACUGGUGAGUGGAGAGGAAACAGUGUGGCCUGGCCUUUGCUUUGGGGCAGGCCUUUCCCUAAUGUCUAGGAAACUAACACUGUGGAUGGCCAAGUGGAUGAGUGGUCUCUGAAAUCAGUGGGGAGUUGCUGCUUCAACAUUGCAACCAAUGAAUGCUGAUGGCCAAACUCACAAUCCACCCUAAUACUAACACAUCACUGGAAAAGGUAAACUGACUAAUUAGGAUGGCUGGGGCACAGGAGAAAUUUUAUAAAUGUUGAUUAAUUUGAGGCUUCCUUCCAAUUCUCUUUGUAACAUCUUGUUGUUUUCUUUACUAGCGAUUUCAGAACAUAAGCUACUCUCCACAGUAAACACAGGCCCAAGAAAACUUGACAGAAAAGGAGUGGAGGAUGUGAACUGGAUAGAUAUGGGAUAAAGUAAUAAAAGGUCAUUAACGUUUAGUCAGUGGUUAAUGUGUGCCAGACACUGUAAUAACUUGCAUAUCUAAUUAACAUAUGUCUAUUGCCAUUUAAUUUUCACAAUAGCAUGAGGCAGAUACUACUUGAUCUCCAUUUUGUACAGGAGAAAACUGAGUCUUAGAGAAGCUUAAUUACUUGCCAAUAUCAUGCAGUUAGUAAGUGUCAGAGCUGGGAUGCAAAUGUAAGUAUGUCUGACUCUGAAUCCCAUGCUUUUUAUACCCAUGAGAUGCUGGGAACUCAGUAGAUAAAGGUGAGAGUGGGUGGUUAUGGAUAGAGAACAGUAGUAUGUUUGAGAAAGAAUAACUGGUCAUUGCAGGGAUGAAGCAACAGAUGUCUCUUCUGGUGACAGUUUGAAACCACAUUGUAAGUAAUUUGUGCUACUAAUAAUUUGUUGUUACUAAUAAUGGAUUAUUUGUGAGUGACUUACAUAAAAAUAAAUCGGAGAAAAUUUAAUGUCACUUUUACCUGGAUUAUGAUGUGUUUCUCUUUAAGUGAGAGGGAAGGAAGUUGAGUUACAGAUAGUUAACUCCCACAUGUAUGUCCUGUACUAGUGAAGUGAUACCAGGUAUAUAUCAACUGUUACGGGAAUGAGGUGCAAAUAAGGUAAGAAUCACUAGACUGAGGAUGUUACGCAUGGCGGAUGUUACAACCCUCAUGAACUUUGCUCUCAAAUCUCUUCUCCUUUGGCUCCUAGGGUCUUUGAAUAGAGGUGAGGGGGGGAUGUUUGUAUCUGGGAGCAAACCUCUAUUAAAUUGGACACAGAGAUCAGAAGCAACCAAGUCAAAGCUGCUUCCCACCAAGCUGUGUGGUCCUGAUUCAUCCCCUGUGACUGGAUGGGGAGCAGGGUGAAGAGGGAUCUUGCUUCCAUUGCAUCUGACACUCUGCCAAUAUUUUAUCACAGGAUUUGCCUCCCCCAUUCAGACCAUGAAUCUACUGAGUGACUGAUAUAUUAGGGUUCAAUAAAUGUUUGCCUUAAUAUACUUGACCUGAAUGGGCUCAUUAAUUUCCCUAGAUUUAAAAAUCAUCCUUUCAUUGAUAUACUUUCUUCCCAAGUUAUGUUAUUUCCCCUUGGCGAUUAUUUACCUCACAUAUUCAUUAAUCUAUCACAGAAAUCUCAAAGUCAAAAUAUAUCUCAAAUUCCUCUAUUUUGCUUCAUUACCUUAGACUGUGCCAGCAUCGUCGGUCACCUGGACAUUACAAUACUCUCCGAAAUGAUGUUUGCAUUCUUUUCCCCCAACAACCCAUUCUCCCAUUCUCUACAUAAUAGUCUUUUUUUCUGGAUCUACACUCUCAUUCACUUCCUACCUCCCUGUAUUAGUUUUAGGCAAAUCCCAGACAUUAAAAUUUUUUUAUCUAGAACUAUUAUACUCAAUAUAUGUGUGUAUGUAUGUAGAUUAUAUAAUGUGCAAUUGUAUAUGUUCAGAAAGGCACAUACGUGUACAGACACAAAUAUACACACUUCUUUUUUGCUAAACAUAACCACAAUAGUGUUAUCAUACUUAAAAAUGUAGUGCUUUAAAAUAUCAAAUAUUUUUGAAUCAGUGUUCAAGUUCUCAAUUACAUCAUAAAUAGCGUAAUUUUGACAGUUUUUAAAAUAUCAAGGUUUGAAUAAGAUCAAUGCAUUGCGAUUCACUAUAUUUCAUAAAUCUAUUUUAAUAUCUAAGUCCCCUCAACAUUUUUUUCCAUUACAAUUUUUUUGUUAAGGAACUGAAUUGUUUCUCCUGAAUGUCUCACAGCCUGGAGUUUGCUUAUCACAUCUCUAUAGCAUACUUUAACAAGUUUCUUUGUCCUCAGUAUUUCUUAUAGAUUGGUUGAUGGCUUUAGUGGCUAGAUUUAGAGACUUGAUUCAGGUUUUAUUAUUUUUUGAGGAGGCGACUACUUCAUAGGUGGCAUUGUAUUUUCCCAUGCUGAUGUCUGGAUAUCCCUCACUUUGUGAUAUUACCAGAUAUUAAUUAGAUGCCUAGAUGCAUUACUUCAUUAGCUGUUAUAAAACAAUGAUAUUCAGAUUUUUUCAUUCUUUCUUUGUGAAUUAGAUGGAUUAUUAUAUAUUUAUAAAGAAAAAUAUCCU